GCUGGCGGCAUGCUUUACACAUGCAAGUCGAACGGUAACAGGGAGCUUGCUCCGCUGACGAGUGGCGAACGGGUGAGUAAUAUAUCGGAACGUACCCAAGAGUGGGGGAUAACGUAGCGAAAGUUACGCUAAUACCGCAUACGAUCCAAGGAUGAAAGCAGGGGACCGCAAGGCCUUGUGCUCCUGGAGCGGCCGAUAUCUGAUUAGCUAGUUGGUAGGGUAAAGGCCUACCAAGGCAUCGAUCAGUAGCUGGUCUGAGAGGACGACCAGCCACACUGGAACUGAGACACGGUCCAGACUCCUACGGGAGGCAGCAGUGGGGAAUUUUGGACAAUGGGCGCAAGCCUGAUCCAGCAAUGCCGCGUGAGUGAAGAAGGCCUUCGGGUUGUAAAGCUCUUUUGUCAGGGAAGAAACGGGUGUGGCUAAUAUCUGCAUCUAAUGACGGUACCUGAAGAAUAAGCACCGGCUAACUACGUGCCAGCAGCCGCGGUAAUACGUAGGGUGCAAGCGUUAAUCGGAAUUACUGGGCGUAAAGCGUGCGCAGGCGGUUUUGUAAGUCUGUUGUGAAAUCCCCGGGCUUAACCUGGGGAUGGCAAUGGAGACUGCAAGGCUAGAGUUUGGCAGAGGGGGGUAGAAUUCCACGUGUAGCAGUGAAAUGCGUAGAGAUGUGGAGGAACACCGAUGGCGAAGGCAGCCCCCUGGGUCAAGACUGACGCUCAUGCAC
rnacentral:rRNA from 1 species